AAAGAUUAUUACAAGCUGAAUUUGAAAUUGUAUAGCUGAACACCUCACAAACAUUGAACUGCGGAAACUCUAUAGCAAAUUUCAUAUUGUUGGAGACAGGCUCCGAAUCGAAUUCUCACUGACUGACUGCCCGCAUGUGGUUGUCGACUUGUGCAGGGCAGGGAGGAGCCUCGAAGGCCUCUGUCCACCCUGCGAUACCCCGACAGCCCGAGUGUGGAGGGAACACUGUGACCUGGCAGUUCUUCCUGAUAAAACUCCUCACGGUAAACUGUCGUGGGAGCCGCUCGUUUCUGACCCAUGGAUGUGAGCAAAAGUGUCGUGUGAGUUUCAGAAACCUUCCCCAAAAAGCCGUGAACGCACCACGUGGAGGCGAUGGCUGGUACUAACGUCUUCCCCACACCACGCAAGGAGGGCCACGCCUAGGAUGGCAGACCGGACACGUGCAAGGGGCUUGGGUCCCGACAGGAGGGUCUCUGCUCAGUCCUCAGCAGCAGCAUCUCAUCCUCUAAAUCCCUGUCCGGUAAGCAGUACCUGCCACCUCCUGCCAAAACCUAACAGUAUCCGUGGACACCG